rnacentral:rRNA from 1 species
UACGUAGGGUGCAAGCGUUGUUCGGAAUCAUUGGGCAUAAAGCGCGUGUAGGCGGUCUGCUAAGUCUGGUGUGAAAGCCCGGGGCUUAACUCCGGAAGUGCACUGGAUACUGGCAGACUAGAGGAUGAGAGAGGAGGGUGGAAUUCCUGGUGUAGGGGUGAAAUCCGUAGAUAUCAGGAGGAACAUCGGUGGCGAAGGCGACUCUCUGGCUCAUUGCUGACGCUCAGACGCAAAAGCGUGGGGAGCAAACAGG